UACGAAGGGGGCUAGCGUUGUUCGGAAUUACUGGGCGUAAAGCGUAUGCAGGCGGAUCGUUAAGUCGGGGGGUGAAAUCCCGAGGCUCAACCUCGGAACUGCCUUCGAUACUGGCGACCUUCGAGUCCGGGAGAGGUGAGUGGAACUCCGAGUGUAGAGGUGAAAAUUCGUAGAUAUCUGGAGGAACACCGGUGGCGAAGGCGGCAUCCUGGACCGACACUGACACUGAGGAGCGAAAGCCAGGGGAGCAAACGGG
rnacentral:rRNA from 1 species